UACGAAGGGUGCAAGCGUUACUCGGAAUUACUGGGCGUAAAGCGUGCGUAGGUGGUUUUUUAAGUCCGUUGUGAAAGCCCUGGGCUCAACCUGGGAAUGGCAGUGGAUACUGGAAAGCUAGAGUGCGGUAGAGGGUAGUGGAAUUCCCGGUGUAGCAGUGAAAUGCGUAGAGAUCGGGAGGAACACCAGUGGCGAAGGCGGCCACCUGGACUGAGACUGACGCUGAGGCGCGAAAGCGUGGGUAGCAAACAGG
rnacentral:rRNA from 1 species